AGGGGAAUAUUGGACAAUGGGCGAAAGCCUGAUCCAGCCAUGCCGCGUGAGUGAAGAAGGUCUUCGGAUUGUAAAGCACUUCAAGUUGGGAGGAAGGGCAGUAAGCGAAUACCUUGCUGUUUUGACGUUACCGACAGAAUAAGCACCGGCUAACUCUGUGCCAGCAGCCGCGGUAAUAUAGAGGGUGCAAGCGUUAAUCGGAAUUACUGGGCGUAAAGCGCGCGUAGGUGGUUCGUUAAGUUGAAUGUGAAAGCCCCGGGCUCAACCUGGGAACUGCAUCCAAAACUGGCGAGCUAGAGUAGGGCAGAAGGUGGUGGAAUUUCCUGUGUAGCGGUGAAAUGCGUAGAUCAAGGAAGGAACACCAAUGGCGAAGGCGACCACCUGGGCUCAUACUGACACUGAGGUGCGAAAGCGUGGGGAGCAAACAGG
rnacentral:rRNA from 1 species